UUGGGACAUUUCAUUUGACGGGUGGUCUCGUAUAUACUAAAUGUAUUACCAGCUAUUAACUAUAUAAUAGCCAUUGUUAUCGAGAAUAAUCAACCCGUUUCAUCAUUUCAAUUUUGACGUUAGCAAUACACAUCUAAUCAUUUUAGGCAGUCCCAAAAUUAGUUGUUAGUAUUAAAAUCGUCUCUUUUAUUAAGAAAUCGAUCAAUUUUGCAAUGGGUGAGGAAUGAGUUCUUAACAAACACGCAUAUUGUAAUACGUUAUACGUCAGAGGACGGACAGUGAUUUUGCCUUUCUCUUUCCGGAUGGCAUUUCGCUUCGAGAUAUUGUGGAAGAGUCUCGGGGCGCUAAGUGGGUAAGGAGGACCCUUCAGGUACAGACGGUUCAGACGCUCACAACCAACACAACCGUAGCAGUGCCCGCACUAGCCCCGACGGGGACUUCCGGCCCAGCCGCGGCUACAGCUGUUGCAUCUUUGGUGCUUAUUUCCGGCCCAGCCGCUCCUGCAAUUGAUGCGCCUAUAGCGCCUAUAGACCUUGCUACCACGGGGAGGGUACCCACACCUUAGGUCGCGUCACUAUCCCUCGCUUUCAACGGAUUACAAACCGCUAACCUGGCAGGCCUCCAGACACUGAAUGGGCCCAUCAGCAUUCCGCAGCUAUUGGCAAUGAACGGCGAACAAGCCUUAUGUGCAGCAGAGCCAUAACAUCCAUGGUCGUUUAAAGCCACUACGACGAACUUGUAAAGUCACUGACCACUACGCAAACACAUGUGCACGCUCGUGAGACCAAAACCUUCAUCGAAUGGACAACUCGUGGAGUUACCAACGGCGUGGCUCCUAUUAAUCAAAGCACUGAAAGUGCUGAGGGACGGUGCCUCUGGUGUAUGUGCAGAACAAUCAAUAUACAGGGAGAGCUGCCUGGUUUCAAAAUCGUGUCGUUGUUAUCAACUAUUGACAGUUUGGUUAUUUCAAGAGCCAACUUUCGUCAUGCAUGACUACUUUUUAUGAAUUUGAAUGCAUGUUAAGCAAGCGAUCACUUUGUACGAAGUUGCAUACGAAGAUUUCUGCGACCGUUUUAUUAACGCUUUCGUACGUAAUUACUCUUCAAAAUGGGGAAGGAUCGGACGAAAAUGUAAACAAACCGUAGAUGCAAUCUUUUGAAAGAAAAGCUCAGUCAUCUGAGAUGCAGUGUUGCAGCACUGAAAAGCAUUGGGUGCCCAUCAUAGAGUGUUUCUCUUUGCCUGCAAUCAGGAUACAUCAACUGACCUUUGAACUGUGUUUUCCAACUUGGGAUUCAAACACAUGCCCUCUUGGGUAGGAGAAAGUCACCUGUGGCUAUAUCACUAUACUUCUUCAAGUCUUGCUCUAUGAGUGAUCAUGAUGUGAAAUAAAACAAAAUGCAGUCAUCUUUUUGUUAUAUUAAAUAAGUUAUGAACAAAUAAAAUAUUUCAAACAUUUUAUUAAUUCGUUAUUUUGAAAAACAGUAUGAAUAAACAUACAUGUAUACCAACAGACAAACAAAUAAUUGGCAAAGAAUGGGCACAAAAAUAUGAGAAUAUUGAAGUUGGAGCUUUAAUGUUAAUAUUGAUUUUAAUGUGACAGAAAAUGCCCCAAUUUGCAAAAAUGCAUUGAAUAUCAAAUGACAAUGCUUGGAUUAACAAAAUUCUGCCCAAAUGAGUAUAGAUC